AUAGCGUAUAUUAAAGUUGUUGCAGUUAAAAAGCUCGUAGUUGGAUUUCUGUUUUGGAUGUCCGGUCCGCUCCCUCUGGGAGUGUGUACUUAUGGAUGUUCGAGGCAUUUUUUGUGAGGCUGCCUUUCUGCCAUUAAGUUGGUGGGUUGGUGGGCUUGCAUCGUUUACUGUGAAAAAAUUAGAGUGUUUAAAGCAGGCGUUUGCUCAUUUGAAUACAUUAGCAUGGAAUAAUAAGAUACGGCCUUGGUGGUCUAUUUUGUUGGUUUGCACACCAGGGUAAUGAUUAAUAGGGACAGUUGGGGGUAUUCAUAUUUCAGCGUCAGAGGUGAAAUUCUUGGAUCGCUGAAAGAUGAGCUUAGG
rnacentral:rRNA from 1 species